CAGAAAAAGAUAUUUUGGACUUUGGGGAGAAAGUGUCUCCACCUGGACUCCUGGUGGUUCUUCAUGGUUGAAACCUGCUUACAGAUGGGGCAGUGUCAGCAUCUUCCUUUGUCUUCCAAGGCCCAGAGAGGAGGCGUGGCUCUGCUGCCAGAGUCAGCGGACAUCUGGACCUGGAGCUGUGGUCCUGGAUUGAACAACAGCUGAGGAAUAUAGAUGCAUUGAACUUUGUGUGAGCACCUGCAGUGGACCAAAGCCCAAAAUAUUGCAGACUGGAUCAGGACAACCAACUGCCACACCCUCAAGGACAAACAGAAUUCAUACUGUUUUUGAUAAAGAAAACAAUGUGUUUGUUGACAGUACUGUUGUUAAUGUUCAAAUAAAAUGGAGAUAUUUCA